AGACUCUUUCAGUACCUAAGGCCUCCUACACAAAGAUGAUCCUUGUGGGCCAGCAGCAUAGCUGUCCCUAGGGAUUUGGAAAUGCAGACUCCUGGUUCGAAUUCGACAAUCAAAAAGAUUCAAAAGCUGGUGAAGUCUUGCUUCCCAGGGGCUGUCAAGUCCUUUGAAGGAUUUAGCAGAUCUACACAACAACUUCCACACUUCUCCAGGGACAAUUCAAAUUUCACAGCACUUCCUCAAAGGAACCUGUUCACCUGGAGUUUAGGAGUCACAGGUACCACUCUGGGUACAGAAAAGGAGGAGCAUCUUGCAAUUUGCACAUCACAUGAAUCUGCAUCUCCAUCUAUCUGAAAUCAUCAUAAGGAAAAAGAGGCGGAUCAGACCAACUAUAGCUUGGUCUGUGCUAUAGUUUGUGGCUCAGAGUUCAUCUUUUCUUAAUCCUCUUCAACUUUAUGUGAAUAGGAACUUUGAACCCUGUAGGAUGCUACUUGGUAUAUCUAGGAAAUAUAGCUAUUCAGGUUACAAUUU
ensembl:antisense 1700071M16Rik RIKEN cDNA 1700071M16 gene